CCUACGGGUGGCAGCAGUGGGGAAUAUUGGGCAAUGGAGGCAACUCUGACCCAGCAACGCCGCGUGAAUGAUGAAGGUCUUCGGAUUGUAAAGUUCUGUGAUGGGGGAUGAACACAAUGACGGUACCCCAAUAGCAAGCCACGGCUAACUACGUGCCAGCAGCCGCGGUAAUACGUAGGUGGCAAGCGUUAUCCGGAAUGACUGGGCGUAAAGGGUGCGUAGGUGGUUUAGUAAGUUGGCGGUGUAAUUCCGGGGCUCAACCUCGGCGCUACCGCCAAAACUAUUAGACUAGAGUGCAGGAGGGGUAAGUGGAAUUCCUAGUGUAGCGGUGGAAUGCGUAGAUAUUAGGAGGAUCAUCAGGGGCGAAGGCAGCAUACCGGCGCUCAACUGACGCUCAUGCACGAAAGUGUGGGUAUCGAACAGGAUUAGAUACCCUGGUAGUC
rnacentral:rRNA from 1 species